rfam:Anolis carolinensis chromosome 2, whole genome shotgun sequence.
CAGAAGGCUCUCAUCAGAGCCACAAAACAGAAUGCAUAGAAACUAG